CCCCGCCCAGGCCCCUUUUAAACUUGAUCUCCGCGGUGCUCUCCCCUUUAGGCCACGACGCGUGACUGGGCUUGGUGGAGUUUCAAGAUGCUGAUGAACUUAAGGUCUGGCGCUUGAAAGAAUCAGUGAAGCUUUUCAAGUAGAGGAGAUAUAUUUGAAUAUGUAACCUUUAGUAUCUACAGAACACAGGUUGCUUUUUUUUUUUUGGUCCCUUUCAUAGUGGUAGCAAGGGUGAAUUUUGAGAUGGCCCCAAUCUAUAGGAAUAUUAUCUGACAGUUUGGAGGCACAAAACUGCCUUAUCACUGAGUGGAUCCUGUAGAAAAUUUCUAUGCAAUUCAAUUCAAUUUUUUUUUUUUUUUUUGAGACGGAGUCUUGCUUUGUCACCCAGGCUGGAGUGCAGUGGUGUGAUCAGGCUCACUGCAAGCUCCACCUC